rnacentral:lncRNA from 1 species
CCCCCAUCACUAAUCUGUUCAGUGCCCAGACCGAAGUUGUAUAAAAAGAUGAUAAUUUACAUUUGGAUAGUAAUUCAGGAAUUUACAAAGAGUCUGCAACCUCUCAUUUCAUCCUCAUUUUACAGCAGAAGAAAAACUAAAAUCCAAAUAGAUUUGUGACUUAAAGUCUCAUUGUUAAUUAGUAGCAGGGGACUUAACUAAAUCCAGAAUCCCUGAUUCCAAAUACUCUUUCCAUUGCAUCCUCAAGUGAGAACAUGUGUGACUUUUCUCUAAGGAUGAAGAGGAUUUCACUCUCCAGAGCUCCAUUUGUUUCUUCUCUUAUCUUAAGGAGAGCCUAUCCUGCCAAGACAUGGAAUUUAUUACCCUCGGAAUAAGCUUCACUCACAAGCCUCUCCAUACCCUACUGUAAUUAUCUGGAUGUGCAGAUACUAUUCUCCGUCAAAAAAACGUCAAAACAUUCCACAAAUGGGCGUAGUGGAACACAUGCAAAUGGUUAAACCAUCAUUAUUUAUUCCCAGUGAUAUGAGGGUGGUCCUCGGCAGAGCAGAGAGAGGAGGCUCAGACGAGAAUUCCACCCACUAAAAGAGAGCUGCUCCCCCUGCGACUUCUUACGUAACUGCUACUGAAGUCCACGGCUAAGCAAGCCCAAGUCUUUUCCACAAGAUGUCACAACAGGAGUGAGGACCCUAGUGGUUGUCGAGUCUCCCCUUCACAUUGUACUUUAAGAAAAUGAGGAGGAAGAGUUCUCUUGUGUCGCAGUGGGUCAAGGAGUGGGGCGGGGGGAAGGCGUGGACACUGCAGUGGUUCAGGUCACUGCUGUGGUUUGGGUUCAAUCCCUGGCCCAGGAACAGCUUCCACAUGCCAUAGGUGCAGCAAAAAAAGAAAGAAAGAGAAAUAGACUUCUCAAUAGAAAUAAGAGAAGCAAAAGACAGUGAUGAAAUGGGCUAAAAGGCGUUCAUUGCCAAUGCAGAGUUCAACACACCAAAAAUACCCUUCAAGAAUGAAGAAAUACAUUUUCAGAUGAUAAAAUCAGUUUAUCACCAAUAAACCUGCCCAAAGGAAAUUCCAAAGAUAAAUCCAAGUUGAUUGAAGUUUAAUGAUGCAAGAAUAAUUGAAGAGCAAAGAAAGUGACAUCUUGUGUAGUUAAAAAUAUUUACAAGAGAACUGAAACACACGACAACACUAGCAUAUAAAUCAUAUAAACUUCAACUGUUUACCCAAGUCCUCACAUCAUCUGAGAGGAGACUAAAUGUAUUAACUCACAUUGGACUCUGAUAGGUCGGCAAUGCAUGGUUUGCUGUAAGUGACCACUAAAGGGUAAAAAUAUAUUACUUUCAACUGACAGUCCAAAAUGGGAUGACGGAGAAAGACAAAAAUCUAGAGGGGGGGGAGUUCUCAGGUGGCCCAGCAGGUUAAGGAUCUGGCAUUGUCACUGCAGUGGCUCAGGUCACUGUUGUGGCACAGGUUCGAUCCCUGGCCCGGGAACUUCUGCAUGCUUCACGCAUGGCCAAAAAAAGACAAGAAUUGUCAAACUAAAAUUUUAGAAGUCCAACCAUAUGCUCUUUAUGAGAGAGACAUCUAAAACAUACGGAUACCAGUAGAUUGAAAUAAUGGAAUUAAGUUACGCCGUGGUAGGUAUUAUUACAUAAAACUUAAGGCAGAAUGCAUUACUAAGAGUAAAGGUCAUUGUAUAAUAAAAAUUCCCAAUCACCAGAAGUAUCUACUAAUUCUAGAUUCUACUUACGACUUCAAAACACAUGAAGCAAAAAUUGAUCAUCUACAAGGAGAAAUAUAUAAAUGUACAAUCACGGUGAGAGAUUUUAACACAUUAAAAUCCCGAGGGCAAUCCUUACCUCGUGCAGGAUGAGAACCAAGCAGUAGAAAAAUAAUCACCACGUCACCCUCAAGUGGUGAUUCUACAUGGCUCUUCAGACAGUCCCCAGAAAAGUAAAGCCCAUUUCCUCUCAGCAGAGAUCAGCUCAGUAGAACAUUGAAUUGGAUUGUCUUCCUUCCUUGUCUUGCUCUCCCCAGACCCCGUUCUUUUUCCCUUGGACUCAUCCCAGAGUAAAUUCUUGCAUGCAAAGUACUUCUCUCAACCCUGCUACUUUGUGGACCCAGGCUAAGACACUUGGUGAUACAAGCAGUUCUACAAACAAACCGUCCAAAUGGAUUCUAGUAUUGGACCAACUGGAUCCAGUAAGGAUCCCAGUCAUGUUGGUAAAUGGGGUGACCUUGACCCUUGGCACGCAGCAGCAUCACAGUUGCUGAGGUUUUCACCAGCAGUGAAUUGGAAUGGUGAAUUCGGAAGAUGAGGCAUUGCUUUAUGUAGUGGCAAUUCAUAAAAAAAUACGUGGUCAAUGUUAAUUAUAGGGAAUGUAGAGCUGGCUGACUCUGGUUGCUGGUCUUUAGAAGUCUUGUGAGAGGAGAGGAAAAUGGCAGCUUGAUUGGCCAACUGUCAACCUCAAGGAAUGCUGUGCAACUGGGAAAGUUUCCAGGACAACAGAGAAAUGUCCCUCUCCCCCCAACAGCCCUAGGAAGAUAGUUGCCAUUCAUCCUAGGCUUUAAUUGUGAGUACAGCUUGGUUACCAAGGAGAACACAGCCUUAAGGAGACUCUGAGGUCAGUGUCAGGGCCCAGCUAAGGAAACAGCAGACCUUGAGACAUGGGGUAAGGGUAUUUGGAUGGACAAAUCUGAGACCCUUGAACCCCACAUUCCUCUGAUCCCAGGAACUGUCCCUCCUCCUUCCUGGAGAGGAAUGGUCUUCCCUGGCUGCAGACACUGCGAAGACACCACUAGAGGCAGGAGCUUCACAAGGUGGGGUUCGUCCUAAGAUCUGCCUCUACCUCCUUUGUUUCCUCCAGACCAGCCGUCAAGUCAGGCGCAGCCCAAGCAAGAUGAUCCAGCUCCUCCUUUCGGGAGACACUGUGUGUACUCAAAGGGUCGAAAGUGUUGGUUAACAGGCACUAAAGGUGAACCGGAGACCUCAUGUUGGACUGGGUCUUAAGGAGCAGCCAAGGAAAGAUGCCUCCUUGUGUUUCAGUUUCUUCAACUGUCAAAUCUGAGUGCCUGAGUGCCUGAGUGCCUGUCCAACCUACUUUAUAUACUUAUUAGAGUAAAUGAAGAAAUUAAUAUUAUAGUGAACUCUGCUAGGGACUAUACUAGGCACUUCACGUAAAUUAUUUAAUUAGGAUAAAAUUGGGCAAGUGUAAACACUUAAUCUAGUUCUAAACUUGUUUAGAAUACAAACACAACAUUGUAAUCAACUACACACCAAUACAUUUUUUAAAAGAAGACUUAAAUGUGUUAUUUUUAAUAGCAUGCCCUAGGAAAAAUGCAGAUUUGUGAAACCUUGUUGCCUAAAAGGAAAGAAGAAAAGGAAGCCGGUGUUUCAAAAACUCAGACAUAUUAGAAUAUGGCAUUGAGUAAGCUGUUGUCUUGUUUGGGGGAAGGUGGACCAUCUGAAGAGGGCUUUAGGGACAGUUCUAGUCAUUGACCUUGGGAGAAGCAGGGUAGGAACAGUGCUGCUGCGGAAGCUGAGAGAGCAGUUCUGUGUCCAGUGGAGCACAGUGAACUCCUGGGUGGCACCUGUGGUGUCUUGGGUAACGCAUGGCCUCCCACCCAGACUGCCUCGGUUGGAAUCCCAGCUCUGGCGCUCAGCCCACUGGGGGAUAUUGGACAGGUAGUUACAAAACUCCAUUUUAUGGAGUUCCCUGGUGGCACAGCAGGU